rnacentral:lncRNA from 1 species
GUAUAUCAAGAGCAAACUGAGAUUUUGAAUGAACAAUAAGGUUUGAGGCGAAAGAAUAUAUUGUUUAAGGUUGAAUUUAUUUGAGAGUGUGAGUAUAGGACACAUGCAUAUAAAAAUAAGACAAGGUUUGGAGGCCAAAAUUAGUUCAAGCUAACCUGAAGUUAAAACUGGAUAAUAUUUCAAAUUGUUAUUGGACUAUGUUCUUGGGUCAUAAAUAUGGUUCGCCGUCUCGGCCAAGUCCGCAAUGACUCAGCCAAGACAUAACCAGGACAGUGGGGAUCGAUAUGAUACCGAUCCCUGAUUCGCAGAUUUAUCUAUAUCCGAGGCGACUCACGAUGACUCAGCUAUAUAGGACAAGUUGUAGUGGUUGCAGUGCUUAUUAUUGAGAAAUCGGCGAGUUGGACUGAGUUGCAUCGAAAAUGGAGAAAAAAAAUUUAUGGCUGUAGAGGGGCAAAAGCUGCAGCUAACAUGGGACCAGAUUGGGAGCUGCCUACCAUUAACUGCAUAAAAAUCAAAAUCGGGGUCUCUUUCAGCAACAAAUCAAAUAAAGCACAGUAAUGAUUCCCUAAUUUGUGGUAGAGUUUGAAGUAUGAACAUAGGAAAAUGAGAAGGAAAAAAUCAUAUGUAUAUAAGAGAGAAACAAGGAGAUGAAGAAAGGAGAGAAGAUUAGUUCUAGUGUAAGAGUUAAUGUGGGUGUAUGUGUGUGUGUGAGAGAGAGAGAGAGAGAGUAAAACUGGCCUUUGUGGUGGUUGGCGGUGGUUAUGGAGAAAACAAAUAGAAGAAGCAAUAGUAAUAGCAUGAGAAGUGACGUUGAGGAAGAAGAAAAGAAAAGAAAGUUAUAAGUUUCCCCUCAAUUUUUUUGAAAUUAUGAACCUGCCCCAGAAGUUCCUUAAACUAUAGUGUAAAGUAGGUAUUUUUUCAUAAUCACUUUUCCCUAGUUUCUAUUUUAUCCUUACUGACUAGAUUCAUCUUAACCUCUAAAUUUUAUCACUUUUCCCUACUUUCAAUUUUAUCCUUACUGACUAGAUUCAUCUUAACCUCUAAAUUUCGUGUUUUAUUUAAUGCUACUUUGUUAAUGACAGUAGGAAUACAAGGUGCUCUUGCUACUAGAAUUACUUACUUUUAAUACUAUAGGUCCAUGGUUACACCAGGGUCACUUUAUUUCUAUAUUAGUGAGUAUAUAUAUAUAUAUAUAUAUGAUAAUGUAGAUAUUCACCAAAUCUAAUUUGAUAAUUGUGCUUGUUAUGGUAUUUUCUAUUUUUAGUAAUUUUUUCACAAAUUUUGGAUACUCUUAUGUGCUAUACUUUGCAUAUCACCCACAAUGGUGAAUCAUGGUCAUAAAUGUUAUAAUUGACUUGACUUAGAUGUAGAUAAAUUUUACUCUGAGCUUGAAAUUCUAAAUCACUGAAAUUCCUGAAGUUAAUAAAGCUUGACCAUAUUUGAGAACUUGGCCUUUAGCUUGAAUAGUAAAUUUAGAAAGACUGAAUUCUAAGGAAAUUUCUUCCUAGAAAAAAGGUUCUUCUGAAAGGUCAUCCACAAAUGAAGUGAUCUUAGUCUUUAGCCUUGAAAUUGGUGGCAGCUUCUAUACUCUCUGUUUCUUUCUGAUUAUUCU